UACGUAGGGUGCGAGCGUUAAUCGGAAUUACUGGGCGUAAAGCGUGCGCAGGCGGUUUUGUAAGCCAGAUGUGAAAUCCCCGGGCUUAACCUGGGAAUGGCAUUUGGGACUGCAAGGCUUGAGUGCGGCAGAGGAGACUGGAAUUCCUGGUGUAGCAGUGAAAUGCGUAGAUAUCAGGAGGAACACCGAUGGCGAAGGCAGGUCUCUGGGCUGACACUGACGCUCAUGCACGAAAGCGUGGGGAGCAAACGAGGAUUACGAAACCC
rnacentral:rRNA from 1 species